GCCUAACCUAACACACAAUUAAACCACUAAUUGUCCGCCAAAUAACUACGAGUUAAAACUUAAAACUUAAAAGACUUGACGGUACUUCACACCACCCUAGAGGAGCCUGUCUAAUAACCGAUACCCCACGAUUAACCCAACCCGCCCUAGCCUAACAGUCUAUAUACCGCCAUCGCCAGCUCACCUUGUGAAAGAAACAAAGCGAGCCUAAUAGUCACCACUUAUACGAUAGGUCGAGGUGUAACUAAUGAGCGGGAUAAGAUGGGCUACAUUUUCUAACACAGAAAAUACGAAUAGACUACGAAAAUAGAAACCGAAGGCGGAUUUAGCAGUAAGUUGGGGACAACAAGCCUAACUGAAAUAAACGCAAUGAAGUGUGUACACACCGCCCGUCAUCCCUGUAAAAAAACAAUAAACUUCAUAAACAUAAAAUACUAAUUAACAGGGCAAGUCGUAACAUGGUAAGCGUACUGGAAAGUGCGCUUAGAAA
rnacentral:rRNA from 1 species